rnacentral:rRNA from 1 species
UGGGGAAUAUUGGACAAUGGGCGAAAGCCUGAUCCAGCCAUGCCGCGUGUGUGAAGAAGGUCUUCGGAUUGUAAAGCACUUUAAGUUGGGAGGAAGGGCAGUAAGCGAAUACCUUGCUGUUUUGACGUUACCGACAGAAUAAGCACCGGCUAACUCUGUGCCAGCAGCCGCGGUAAUACAGAGGGUGCAAGCGUUAAUCGGAAUUACUGGGCGUAAAGCGCGCGUAGGUGGUUCGUUAAGUUGAAUGUGAAAGCCCCGGGCUCAACCUCGGAAAUGCAUCCAAAACUGGCGUGUUAGGGUAGGGCAGAGGGUGUUGGCAUUUCCUGUGUAGUGGUGAGAAGCGGAGAUAUAGGAAGGAACACCAGUGGCGAAGGGGCCCCCCAGUGCUCAUACUGAGACUGAGGUGCGAAAGCGUGGGGAGCAAACAGG